CCGGAGGUUACUGCUAUCGGUGUUCGCCUCCCUUAUGCGAGUCAUAUGUUCUUCGUGAACAUGGCGUACUGCUCAGUAACACGUGAAUAACCUGCCCUUGGGACCGGCAUAACCCCGGGAAACUGGGGAUAAUUCCGGAUACCGCAUAUAUGCUGGAAUGCUUUAUGCGUGAAAUGGAUUCUUCUGCCCAAGGAUGGGUCUGCGGCCUAUCAGGUAGUAGUGGGUGUAAUGUACCUACUACCCUACAACGGGUACGGGUUGUGAAAGCAAGAGCCCGGAAAUGGAUUCUGAAACAUGAAUCCAGGCCCUACGGGGCGCA
rnacentral:rRNA from 1 species